rnacentral:hammerhead_ribozyme from 1 species
GCACUGCUGAGGAGUCCUACACUAGGACGAAACGGCUGUCCAGUGC